GGGGAAAGAAACAGGGAAGGAGAAGGGCUCUGGUGAAGAUCACACUGCCCUCCUGAGGCUCCUGGGGGAGAAGGCAAAGUUGCACCAAGACCCCAUGCUGUUCUCUGAUGACAUUUUUUUCAUUGAGCCAAUGGAGGGAGAAAUUGGGCCGAAUUGUUUGGCCAAAAUCAAGGUGACCUUCAAACCCCUGGAAGCACUGGAGUAUGGAAGUGUGGCUUACUGCAGCAUCUCAGGUGGAACUGAUAAACCUAGGAGCUAUUGAUGCUCCCUUCACCUAUAGCCCUUCAACUGCAAACGUGGGCUUCUGCUUCAAGUUUGCGCCUGAGGAGGGCAUCAUUGCACCAGGCGGGACCCAGACUGCUCAGAUCUCCUUCAGUGCCACCAUAGUGUGGAGGUUUGAGGAAGAAUUCCAGUUCAGUGUGGCUGGAUCUCCUAUGUCUGCACUCCUGACUAUCAAGUACGGACGGUCAAAGCCAGGCACGCGCCCGCACGUCCUCAG